UGUUUGAUCAAGCUACAAAGGGCACACGGUGGAUGCCUAGGCACGACAAGGCGAUGAAGGACGUGGUAAGCUGCGAUAAGCCUCGGGUAGGUGCAAGCGACCUCUGAUCCGGGGAUUUCCGAAUGGGGCAACCCAGCGCGGGUAAUGCCGCGUUACCCCCGAGUGAAUACAUAGCUCGGGAGGAGCGAACGGGGUGAACUGAAACAUCUAAGUAACCCUAGGAACAGAAAGCAAUAGCGAUUUCCUUAGUAGCGGCGAGCGAAAAGGAAAUAGCCCAAACCGUUUGUGUGUAAGCCUGCAAGCGUUGCACAAACGGGGUUGUGGGGCAAGUCUGACGUAGUUGCAGAUUCGUCAGGGAGUUACAAAUCGGCGUGUUAGUUGAACGGCUCUGGAACGUCCGGCCAUAGAGGGUGAAAGCCCCGUAAACGAAAGCGUGUCGACUCCUGUGACUUGUUCCCAAGUACUGCGGAACACGUGAAAUUCUGCAGGAAUCUGGGAGGACCACCUUCCAAGGCUAAAUACUCUGUCGUGACCGAUAGUGAACUGGUACCGUGAGGGAAAGGUGAAAAGUACCCCUUUAUGGGGAGUGAAAUAGUACCUGAAACCGUAUGCCUACAAGCGGUCGGAGGGCGAUCCCGAGCUUCGGCUUGGACUAGCCUGACGGCGUGCCUUUUGCAUAAUGAGCCGGCGAGUUACUCCUGCGUUGCAAGGUUAACCUACUCAGUAGGGGAGCCGUAGCGAAAGCGAGUCUUAAUAGGGCGACUUGAGUAGCGUGGGGUAGACCCGAAGCCAGGUGAUCUAUCCAUGGCCAGGAUGAAGCGCGACUAAUCCCGCGUGGAGGUCCGAACCCACCAAUGUUGAAAAAUUGGGGGAUGAGCUGUGGAUAGGGGUGAAAGGCCAAUCAAACCUGGAGAUAGCUGGUUCUCCCCGAAAUAGUUUUUGGACUAGCCUCGUGAUAUAGAGUGACGGAGGUAGAGCACUGGAUAGGCUCGGGCCCUUCACCGGGUACCAACCCUAACCAAACUCCGAAUGCCGUUUACUUGUUUCACGGGAGUCAGCGUGCGGGGGAUAAGCUUCGUACGCAAGAGGGAAACAACCCAGAUCGCCAGCUAAGGCCCCUAAGUGUAUGCUAAGUGAUAAAGGAUGUGGGAGUGCUGAGACAGCCAGGAUGUUGGCUUAGAAGCAGCCAUUCAUUUAAAGAGUGCGUAACAGCUCACUGGUCAAGUGAACCUGCGCCGAUAAUGAUCGGGACUAAAGCAUACCGCCGAAGCUGCGGGAUUGCGAACCCUUCGGGGUUCGUGAUCGGUAGGGGAGCAUUCUAUAGUAGGCUGAAGGCGGACCGUAAGGUCCGCUGGACGAGAUAGAAGAGACCAUGCCGGCACGAGUAGCGAUAAAACAGGUGAGAAUCCUGUUCACCGAAAAUCUAAGGUUUCCUGGGGAAGGUUCGUCCGCCCAGGGUUAGUCGGUCCCUAAGCCGAGGCCGAAAGGCGUAGGCGAUGGAAAACAGGUCAAAAUUCCUGUACCACCUUAGAGGCGUUUGAGCUAUGGGGUGACGCAGAAGUGACGGUCAGCCCGCGAUUGGAAGUGCGGGUCGAAGCCUGUAGGGGGACAGUCUAGGUAAAUCCGGACUGUCUUAACCCCGAGAGGUGAUAGGGAAACGAGCCUUCGGGCAAGCCAACUGACCUUAAUCAUGCUGCCAAGAAAAACCUCUAUGUGAGUCUCUGUGGUGUCCGUACCGCAAACCGACACAGGUAGAUGAGGAGAGAAUCCUAAGGUGCGCGAGAGAACCCAUGUUAAGGAAUUAGGCAAACUCGCCCCGUAACUUCGGGAGAUGGGGCGCCUCCGAGUAUGUGACCGGACUUGCUCCGGGAGCGGAAGGAGGCCGCAGUGAAAAGGCUCGGGCGACUGUUUACUAAAAACACAGGUCUCUGCUAAGUCGCAAGACGACGUAUAGGGGCUGACACCUGCCCGGUGCGAGUAAAUUAAGAGGAGGGGUUAGCCUUCGGGCGAAGCUCUGAAUCGAAGUUCUCGUAAACGGCGGCCGUAACUAUAACGGUCCUAAGGUAGCGAAAUUCCUCGUCGGAUAAAAACCGACCUGCACGAAUGGUGUAACGGCUUGAGCGCUGUCUCGACAUGGGACUCGGCGAAACUGUAGUUCCGGUGAAGAUGCCGGAUACCCGCAGCGGGACGGAAAGACCCCGUGAACCUUUACUCUAGCUUGGCACUGGGUUUUGGCACAGUAUGUGUAGGAUAGGUGGGAGGCUUUGAAGCGGAUGCGCCAGCGUUCGUGGAGCCAUCCUUGAAAUACCACCCUUACUCUGUUGAAAUUCUAACCUUGGCCCUUGAAUCAGGGUCGGGAACACUGCCUGGUGGGAAGUUUGGCUGGGGCGGUCGCCUCCCAAAAUGUAACGGAGGCGUUCAAAGGUUCCCUCAGCGCGGUCGGUAAUCGCGCGAAGAGUGCAAAGGCAUAAGGGAGCUUAACUGCGAGACCUACAAGUCGAGCAGGUGCGAAAGCAGGACUUAGUGAUCCGACGGUGGCGUGUGGAAGCGCCGAAGCUCAACGGAUAAAAGGUACUCCGGGGAUAACAGGCUUAUCUCCCCCAAGCGUCCAUAGCGACGGGGGGGCUUGGCACCUCGAUGUCGGCUCAUCACAUCCUGGGGCUGGACAAGGUCCCAAGGGUUUGGCUGUUCGCCAAUUAAAGUGGUACGUGAGCUGGGUUUAGAACGUCGUGAGACAGUUCGGUCCCUAUCUGCUGUGGGCGU
rnacentral:rRNA from 1 species